GGCGAACGGGUGAGUAACACAUCGGAACGUACCCUGUCGUGGGGGACAACGAAUCGAAAGAUUCGCUAAUACCGCAUACGACCUGAGGGUGAAAGCAGGGGAUUGGCAACGACCUUGCGCGAUUGGAGCGGCCGAUGUCGGAUUAGCUAGUUGGUGAGGUAAAGGCUCACCAAGGCGACGAUCCGUAGCUGGUCUGAGAGGACGACCAGCCACACUGGGACUGAGACACGGCCCAGACUCCUACGGGAGGCAGCAGUGGGGAAUUUUGGACAAUGGGGGCAACCCUGAUCCAGCCAUUCCGCGUGAGUGAAGAAGGCCUUCGGGUUGUAAAGCUCUUUCGGCAGGAACGAAAAGGUACGGGCUAAUAUCCCGUAU
rnacentral:rRNA from 1 species